rnacentral:rRNA from 1 species
AGUGAACGCUGGCGGUAGGCCUAACACAUGCAAGUCGAACGGCAGCACAGGAGAGCUUGCUCUCUGGGUGGCGAGUGGCGGACGGGUGAGGAAUACAUCGGAAUCUACCUUUUCGUGGGGGAUAACGUAGGGAAACUUACGCUAAUACCGCAUACGACCUACGGGUGAAAGUGGGGGACCGCAAGGCCUCACGCGAUUAGAUGAGCCGAUGUCCGAUUAGCUAGUUGGCGGGGUAAUGGCCCACCAAGGCGACGAGCGGUAGCUGGUCUGAGAGGAUGAUCAGCCACACUGGAACUGAGACACGGUCCAGACUCCUACGGGAGGCAGCAGUGGGGAAUAUUGGACAAUGGGCGCAAGCCUGAUCCAGCCAUACCGCGUGGGUGAAGAAGGCCUUCGGGUUGUAAAGCCCUUUUGUUGGGAAAGAAAUCCUGUCGAUUAAUACUCGGUGGGGAUGACGGUACCCAAAGAAUAAGCACCGGCUAACUUCGUGCCAGCCGCCGCCGUAACAC